ACACUACCAUAUACCACAUCGCCGUAUACUUGACCACUGAUAUAAAAGAAGUCCCGAUUGUCUGAUUAUUAUCAUUGUGCACCGGAUCUUGUGUCCUACAGUUUCUUAACGACCAACAAAACAAACCAACAUCAAGAUGUUCAAAUUCGUGUUCUUUGCUGCUCUCCUGGCUUUGGCUUCGGCCAAACCCUAGUGGUUGAGUACCCGUAGCGGCCGCGUACACUGCUCCCGUAGCAGCCGCGUACACCGCGCCCGUCGCCUACUCCGCGUACAGCGCCUACGACUACGCCCUGCCCUAUUCCGCGUACACCUACGCCGCCCGUACACUUAUUACGUGCGCUGAUCAUUUGAAGUAACCAGGCUGAUGAAACACGACAACUGCUCAAAUAUGUACAUUAUUAAUAUAAUCACAGCAACAAUCGAAAUAAAGCUACUUCGAUAUUA